rnacentral:pre_miRNA from 1 species
GUGCUUAAAGAAUGGUUGUCCGUAGUAUGGUCUCUGUAUUCAUGGUGAUUAACAUCGGACAACCAUUGUUUUAGUAUCC